rnacentral:rRNA from 1 species
GACGAACGCUGGCGGCGUGCUUAACACAUGCAAGUCGAACGGAAAGGCCUGCUUUCCCUUGUGGAUUGCGGGUACUCGAGUGGCGAACGGGUGAGUAACACGUGAGUGAUCUGCCCCCAACUUGGGUAUAAGCCUGGGAAACUGGGUCUAAUUCCCGAUAGGACUGCAGGGUGGUGCCUGUGGUGGAAAACGAUUUUCUAGUGGUUGGGGAUGAGCUGGCGGCCUAUCAGCUUGGUGGUGGGGUAAUGGCCUACCGAGGCGGCGACGGGUAGCCGGCCUGGGGUGGACGGCGGCAACAGUAGGGCGGCGCGGCGGCGACGACUCCGGCGGGCAGCAGCGGGGAGUAGUGCUGCAUGGGGGGCGGACUGCUGCAGCGGCGACGCGGGGGGGGUGAUGGCGGCCGUCGUGUGAUACUCUUCUGUCGGUGAAGAGGGAGCGCCUUGGUUGGGGGGGUGUUGACGGUAGUGGUAGAAGAAGCACCGGCUAACUACGUG